UGUCAUCCUGGAUGAUCUAGUGAGAUUUUGAAUGAAAUGCCACUGGAGGUCACUGGACAGAUACUAUUUGAAUGCAGAAAUCAGCAAUUAUCUUUUAACUAGGGAGAUGAAACCAGAAACUAUGUUCCAGUGAUGGUGACUGCCCUGACAAGACCUCCCGCUGGUCCAGACUGCCCAGACCCUUUGAGAGAAACUUGAUCCAAGCCUGCACAGAUGGGCCAUGGAGUGACCUCUGGAAUAACCUACAAUUACCUUUACUUCAUUAUAAUUCUAAAAUCUUUGCCCAAGGAGGACCACCAGCCUCAUUGACAAAACACACAAUCAAAGACGUUUUCAAGAAUUCUCUCAGUCAUCGGCUCCGGACCCCGCAGCCCCACCGUCACCCCAAAAACCUCAUCAUUAUGAAAAACAAUUACCAACAUAAGUACAGAUAUAGGUCAAAACAGAAAACAGAAACUCAAAA